AUUAUUUCAUUCAUUUAGGUUUAAAUCAUGUUUGUACUUGUGAAUGUAUGUCCAACAUUUGUAAGUUAUUGAAUUAACUUUUAAUCUAGGUAGAGGUAAUAGUAAAUAGACAUAAAAUCUAAAUGGUGCAUAUCAUGUCGAUUUCGGAAGAUAAUUGUUGUAUGCAUAAACCGUGUAAAUGCCUAUGUUUUAAUUAAAAUAAGUUUAAUGAAUUUUCAUAUUUCCACGAAUCUCUUGCAAUAUUCUUUUUAUGAUUUCUAAUAAAUCCUUGUUGAAGUUAAAUAUUUUAUUUUAGUCUAUUCAUGUUAUGUUAUAUCAUGCCUUGUAUUUAUUUUCUAUUGUGAUCAUUUCUACAAUGUAUGUUGUUUUGUUUUGUGGGUAUUUGAACACUGAUUUCAUCUUUAAUUUAAAUUGAAAAAUUCUAUCAAAAUUAUUCUUCUUAUUUUGUUUAACCAAAUUGAUAAAAAUUAACUUUACAAAAAAUUACCACACAGCCUCUAUGGAGACGAUAACUCUUUUACUUACUACUUAUUACUUGUAUGACCAUGUACACUUGCACGUAAUCAUGCGAUGAUACAACAAGUCACAAACAACACAUUUAAGCACUUACAUAAACAUAAGCGAUCUUAGGUUCGUACAUGCUUAGGAUAUUUUAUUAGUAUUUAUAGAACAUUGCAUCAUGAAGCUUGGAUUGUGCUUAAAUGUUAUUAUAUUACUUUUACUUGUGGGUGGAAUGGAUUUGUUUGUUUUUGAAUGGCAGGUGUAAAAUGAGGAAAAUAAAUGAAGGAGUGAAGUUUUGUAAUGGUAGAAGGUUGGACGAAUUGUCAACAUCAAUGCCAUGGCAAUUCUAGGAAGACGCCGAAUCAACACUCAAUUCGUGUCAAUCUUAGCUAACUAUACUUGUACCAGAAAGAUCUACCUGAAAAAGAGAGAGGAAAAAUUGUCUGCUGAGAGGGGGAUCUACCCUAUAAAAAGUGAGGAAGAUCUAGAAGAGAGGAGAGGAGAGGAGAGAGAAAAUAAGCAUUUCUCAGAGGAAAGAUCUUGAGGUAAAAAUAGAGGGUAGCAGUAGUUGUUGAAAAGCAGAGCAGAACGCGAGGAAGUGGAUGAAGGCAGUCAACUAGGCCUUUACGAAACAUUGCAGCACCGCAAUUGAAGAUUAUCAAAAGCUCAAUCGGGUUGGAAGCUCGUCGAAGAUCUAUCACACUAUUCAACCGUUAUAUUUGUAAAUUUUUGAUGUAUUGGUCAUGGUUAUAAUGACAAAUAUAGGGGGAAUUAUGCCUAAUGUUUAGUAAUGUUUAUGGGAUGUAACGUUGCUUUGAGCUUGUGGAACUUAUGAUAUUUGGAUGUCUUGAUGGUUGAUGUUUUUAUGGCUAGAUUGAUCAGGUUUGGAAUAACAAAAUUUGGUAUGUGUUGGUAUGAUGAUAAUGUGGCCAAGUUGAGUUAUACUUUGAGGUAGAUAUGAGCUAUUUGUAAUGAUAUAAAUGUGGUCAAAUAUGGUACGUUUAGUAUGGAAA